GAUCACGGAGUUGGCCGAGGUGGUCACCAGCAGCGGAGCUCCUCGGAACCAACGCCGGACAAAGCUGUAUCAGAGACAACUUCGGAGGAGGAACUUCAAACAGG